rnacentral:tRNA from 1 species
GCCGGGAUGGUUUAACUCUAAUCGGUUAAGGCGUCGCCCCGGAUAGGCGAAGGUUUGCGGGUUCAAUCCCCGCUCCUGGCC